GCCCAACUAGCUCAGUCAGAAGAGCAUGUAACCUUGAUCUUGGGGUUGUGAGUUCAAGCCUCACGUUGGGUA
rnacentral:tRNA from 1 species